AGCAAGGGGGGGGGGUGAAACCCUAACUUCACAAAAUCCACAAGAAUUACUAGAAAUCUUAAGGAAAUCGAAAGAAUAAUCAUCAAAUUCUAAGCUCCUACACCUGUUCUUUGAAGUGGCGUGAAGGAAGAAGGUACAAGCACUAGGAAAACGGAAGGCACGCAAGAUCGAGGUAAAUCCUCGGCUUAGGCGAUUGGACGGCUUGGAACGUGCACACUUGAUUCAUGCCUGCCUCACGCUUCCGUCAUAAGUUAUUUUGAUAUGGGUUAGAUUUUG